AUAGUAUCGAUUCAUACCCUAGUAUCGAUUCAUACCCUAGUAUCGAUUCAUACCCUGGCCCCACAUAUCUAAAUCAUGGAUCGGUGCCCAAGAUGAUGUUGAAGGAUGUGUCCGACCGAAAAUUGAAGGACGUUGCAAUCAACUCCAUGACAGACUAACUUGUCUUGAACCUUUGGUAAUCUUCUCCAUAUUACACUACCUAUGUAGGCUGCAUAGCUCGUCCUGGGUGAGUAGAUAUAUCAAGAAAUUGGCUUCCCGAAAUGGUGGUGAGUUCAGUGGAUCUCCGGCCUAAACCGGAUAACGAAUGCACAUGCGCAUCGGCUUUGAUUUCCCAGAAGCAGGAAACAUUCCGAUCAACAUCAUCGGCGGUGAGUUCAGUUUUUUAAUGGAAUUGUUUUUCCAUAAUUCAAGGAUUUUGCAGAGCUUGAAGCAGUAAGAGCAGACUCACUUCUGAUUAGAGUGUAGAACUGAAAAUAACACUAAGUCAGAAAAUGGAAAUGUAUUAAACCAUGUCACAUAGAUGCUGAACACUAUAUACACUAACAAAAUAAGGUGUCUUUGUUAAUUUAUUGUGUUUGCCACCGGAACCACCAACAUGGUUACCUACAAGGGUAUCGCAACAAUAUUCAUAUGUGUAUUCAUCUCCAAUGCCGCUAACUGUCCUACAGCUGUUUGAUGAAAUGCCAAAAUGAGAACAAAAGGGUUAUGUAUGUGUUGUGUUGUUCCUUUUACCCUUAGACCAAUUGAAACAUAUGAGCUUUAAAUUAUUAGUGAUGGAUGGGUAGGAAGAAGAGCCUGUAUAUGAUAGUAAAGUAGAAGCUCUAAGUGGAAAGAAAUUGAUUGCUUGUUGUGGCACAAGUAAAAUCUUAAACUUGGACUUGGUUAAGAAAUUGGAGUGCAAAUUAGUGUUUGUUAGUGCUGGUGUUCUUGACAGAAUUUCAUGCCGGCUAAAGCUGAUGUUAAAGAUACAAUGCUGGGACUAGUAGAUGGAGGAACAUGUACCAAAUUUACAAAUGCAGAGCACUUCCAAGAGCCUUUUGAUGCCCUUAUUUCUCUCUUUCAAGACCCUUGCUCUGGUUGAAAGAGUAGAUUUGAAGUAUUGAGUUUCGAAUUUCAUUUAAGAAAUGAUGGUUGGAAGAGUAACUCUAAGCUCCGGUUUGGUCUGUGUAUGGUGGUGAUAGUUCGGUUAUGAUUGAUGCAACAAGAAUUAUCGUGGCCAUUGUCAAUCCUACAACUUUUUGGAUACUAAUGGGUCCUCUUUUACAUGACAAUACUAAUGUUGAAUCUAUGUAUAGCCAAGAAACUAAAUGCUUUCAAUCUAGUCCUUGCAGCCAUGGAUAAAUUGGUUUUGGGACACUAAUAAAAUUAAUGGUGCCCGGUUUCAAGAUA